CAAACAGUAGGUUGCACUUCUGGGUAACCUUACCUGCAUCCCACGAACUGCUGUCUGGGCACCUGGUCCCAUCGCAACACAAUUUUGAUACUGUUGCAGGAUCUCAGUCAGGCUGGAUAUGACAAGGCAACAGCGUCUCGUUUAUCGCUAUCUACAAAGAAUUUGAAGAGAGUAGAGACUCGGGAAACAUUGCAGCAGUAAAGUCAUCAGACAUAGUAAGCAAGGAAAGUUGGCAUUCUCUCGAAAAUGUCUCCGAAGGAACUUUAAUGAAAAUCCUGUCAUUGAAAGAGGGGGCGAGAGCUGGUUCGCAGAAGAAGCUCGAAGCUCGAAGCUGACAUCUUGAGGAGAGCGGCUGAAGACCCGAUUGCAAGCUUGUCUGUAAGCCAAGACCUAGUCCGACAUGCGCUAUGCUAAUUGUAAGGAAGAAUAGAGUAAACUGGUCUAUUGCUCUAUCCCUCUUGAACUAUGAGUUAGAUGUUCGGGUUGGCAGCUCUGAGUUCUGAGCUAUAGAUGCUAGAGUCCAGACUAGUUGGAUGAGAUAGGAACAAAAUCGAAGCCACUCUAAAGAUCAAGGAUGAAUGUAAAUAUGAGUAUAAUCGAUGCGAACUUAUCAAGA